rnacentral:lncRNA from 1 species
GUCCAGUUGAUUUACUGAACUGCAUGUGGUCCAGUUGAUUUACUGAACUGUACGCGGCCCAGUUGAUUUACUGAACUGUACGUGGCCCAGUUGAUUUACUGAACUGCACGUGACCCAGUUGAUUUACUGAACUGCACGUGGCCCAGUUGAUUUACUGAACCGCACGUGGCCCAGUUGAUUUACUGAACCGCACGUGGCCCAGUUGAUUUACUGAACCUCACGUGGCCCAGUUGAUUUACUGAACUGCACGUGGCCCAGUUGAUUUACUGAACCGCACGUGGCCCAGUUGAUUUACUGAACCGCACGUGGCCCAGUUGAUUUACUGAACUGCACGCGGCCCAGUUGAUUUACUGAACUGCACGUGGCCCAGUUGAUUUACUGAACUGCACGUGGCCCAGUUGAUUUACUGAACUGUACGUGGCCCAGUUGAUUUACUGAACUGUGCGUGGCCCAGUUGUUUUCAGGCUCCCGAGUGGCUUGCGGUCUAAGGCAUUUCAGUGCUAGAGGCGUCACUACAAACCAUUGUUCGAUUCCAGGCUGUAUCACAACUGACCGUGAUUGGGAGUCCCAUAGGGCAGCGCACAAUUGGCCCAGCGUCGUCCGGGUUAUGGUUUGGCCUGGGGGUAGGCCUUCAUUGUAAAUAAGAAUUUGUUCUUAACUGACUUGCCUAGUUAAAUAAAAAAGUGUUUUACAAAAUGCUAACAAGAACUUACCAGGACCCCCAGUCUCGUUCAACACUCCCUACAUCUGUUUUUAAUUCAAUUGACACAAGUUCCCAUUGGGAGGACAAAGUUUACAUACAAAAUAAAUCACUUGCAUGACAAAACUUUUCAAACCAGUCGACUGUUUUUGUCAGGAUGCCCUCUUCUCCAGCAGCCUGAAAUCCAACGAACAGUUUUGAUACGUUUUAUCACUGUUUCAACAACGGAGAAAGUAGGUUUGGAUGUCAGGCUACUUCUCCAGUCCCCACUAAACCCCUUUACUAACAUACGAUCAGGCUACUUCUCCAGUCCCCGCUAAACCCUUUACUAACAUACGAUCAGGCUACUUCUCCAGUCCCCACUAAACCCCUUUACUAACAUACGAUCAGGCUACUUCUCCAGUCCCCGCUAAACCCUUUACUAACAUACGAUCAGGCUACUUCUCCAGUCCCCGCUAAACCCCUUUACUAACAUACGAUCAGGCUACUUCUCCAGUCCCCGCUAACCCCCUUUACUAACAUACGAUCAGGCUACUUCUCCAGUCCCCGCUAAACCCCUUUACUAACAUACGAUCAGGCUACUU